GACGAACGCUGGCGGCGUGCCUAAUACAUGCAAGUAGAACGCACAGUUUAUACCGUAGCUUGCUACACCAUAGACUGUGAGUUGCGAACGGGUGAGUAACGCGUAGGUAACCUGCCUGGUAGCGGGGACAACCAUUGGAAACGAUAGCUAAUAUCCCCUAAAAUUGAUUUUUGCAAGAUUAUUGAUUUAAAGAUGUCUUUGCAUCACCACCAGAUUGACCUGCGUUGUAUUAGCUAGUAGGUGAGGUAACGGCUCACCUAGGCGACGAUACAUAGCCGAACUGAGAGGGUGAUCGGCCACACUGGGACUGGGACACGGCCCAGACUCCUACGGGAGGCAGCAGUAGGGAAUCUUCGGCAAUGGACGAAAGUCUGACCGAGCAACGCCGCGUGAGUGAAGAAGGUGUUCGGAUCGUAAAGCUCUGUUGUAAGAGAAGAACGGGUGUGAGAGUGGAAAGUUCACACUGUGACGGUAUCUUACCAGAAAGGGACGGCUAACUACGUG
rnacentral:rRNA from 1 species